UGAGUAACCUGCCCUUAACUCUGGGAUAAGCCUGGGAAACUGGGUCUAAUACCGGAUAUGACUCCUCAUCGCAUGGUGGGGGGUGGAAAGCUUUAUUGUGGUUUUGGAUGGACUCGCGGCCUAUCAGCUUGUUGGUGAGGUAAUGGCUCACCAAGGCGACGACGGGUAGCCGGCCUGAGAGGGUGACCGGCCACACUAGGACUGAGACACGGCCCAGACUCCUACGGGAGGCAG
rnacentral:rRNA from 1 species